AACGAACGCUGGCGGCAUGCCUAACACAUGCAAGUCGAACGAACCCUUCGGGGUUAGUGGCGCACGGGUGCGUAACGCGUGGGAACCUGCCUUUAGGUUCGGAAUAACAGUUAGAAAUGACUGCUAAUACCGGAUGAUGUCUUCGGACCAAAGAUUUAUCGCCUUUAGAUGGGCCCGCGUUGGAUUAGCUAGUUGGUGGGGUAAAGGCCUACCAAGGCGACGAUCCAUAGCUGGUCUGAGAGGAUGAUCAGCCACACUGGGACUGAGACACGGCCCAGACUCCUACGGGAGGCAGCAGUGGGGAAUAUUGGUCAAUGGGCGAAAGCCUGAUCCAGCAAUGCCGCGUGAGUGAUGAAGGCCUUAGGGUUGUAAAGCUCUUUUACCAGGGAUGAUAAUGACAGUACCUGGAGAAUAAGCUCCGGCUAACUCCGUG
rnacentral:rRNA from 1 species